GAUGCACGCUGGCGGCGUGCCUAAUACAUGCAAGUCGAGCGAGCGGCGGCCGGGAGAGUCAUGUCUGGGAAACUGCCUGAUGGAGGGGGAUAACUACUGGAAAAGGUAGCUAAUACCGCAUACCAUCAGAUGUGCCCAGAUGGGAUUAGCUCGUAGGUGGGGUAAUGGGUCACCUAGGCGACGAUCCCUAGCUGGUCUGAGAGGAUGACCAGCCACACUGGAACGGAGACACGGUCCAGACGCCUACGGGAGGCAGCAUUGGGGAAUAGUGCACAAUGGGCGCAAGCCUGAUGCAGCGAUGCCGCGUGUGGGAAGAAGGCCUGCGGGUUGUAAAGCACUUUCAGCGAGGAGGCGUUACUCGCAGAAGAAGCACCGGCUAACUCCGUGCCAGCAGCCGCGGUAAUUC
rnacentral:rRNA from 1 species